UACGUAGGGCGCGAGCGUUGUCCGGAAUUAUUGGGCGUAAAGGGCGCGUAGGCGGCCUCUGCAAGUCAGUUGUGAAAUCUCCGGGCUUAACUCGGAAAGGUCAACUGAUACUGCAGGGCUAGAGUGCGGAAGGGGCAACUGGAAUUCUCGGUGUAGCGGUGAAAUGCGUAGAUAUCUGGAGGAACACCGGUGGCGAAGGCGGCAUCCUGGACCAAUACUGACACUGAGGAGCGAAAGCCAGGGGAGCAAACGGG
rnacentral:rRNA from 1 species